rnacentral:rRNA from 1 species
AUUGAACGCUGGCGGCAGGCCUAACACAUGCAAGUCGAACGGUAGCACAGAGGAGCUUGCUCCUUGGGUGACGAGUGGCGGACGGGUGAGUAAUGUCUGGGAAACUGCCCGAUGGAGGGGGAUAACUACUGGAAACGGUAGCUAAUACCGCAUAACGUCUUCGGACCAAAGUGGAGGACCUUCGGGCCUCACACCAUCGGAUGUGCCCAGAUGGGAUUAGCUAGUAGGUGGGGUAAUGGCUCACCUAGGCGACGAUCCCUAGCUGGUCUGAGAGGAUGACCAGCCACACUGGAACUGAGACACGGUCCAGACUCCUACGGGAGGCAGCAGUGGGGAAUAUUGCACAAUGGGCGCAAGCCUGAUGCAGCCAUGCCGCGUGUAUGAAGAAGGCCUUCGGGUUGUAGAGUACUUUCAGCGGGGAGGAAGGCGUUAAGGUUAAUAACCUUGGCGAUUGACGUUACCCGCAGAAGAAGCACCGGCUAACUCCGUGCCAGCAGCCGCAGUAA